rnacentral:rRNA from 1 species
AUUGAACGCUGGCGGCAGGCCUAACACAUGCAAGUCGAACGAGUGGCGGACGGGUGAGUAAUGUCUGGGAAACUGCCUGAUGGAGGGGGAUAACUACUGGAAACGGUAGCUAAUACCGCAUACCAUCAGAUGUGCCCUGAUGGGGUUAGCUAGUUGGUGGGGUAACGGCUAACCAAGGCGAAGAUCCCUAGCUGGUCUGAGAGGAUGACCAGCCACAUUGGAACUGAGACACGGUCCAGAAUCCGACGGGAGGCAGCAGUGGGGAAUAUUGAACAAUGGGCGCAAGCCUGAUGCAGCCAUGCGGCGUGUAUCAAGAAGGCCUUCGGGUUGUAAAGUACUUUCAGCGGGGAGGCGUUACCCGCAGAAGAAGCACCGGCUAACUCCGUGCCAGCAGCCGCGGUAAUUC